rnacentral:rRNA from 1 species
GUACACGCUGUGACUAGCAUAUCAAUAAGCGGAGGAAAAGAAACUAACAAGGAUUCCCCUAGUAACGGCGAGUGAAGCGGGAAGAGCUCAAAUUUGAAAUCUUAAAGGGUUUCCCUUUACGAAUUGUAGUUUAAAGAAGUGUUUUCUGUUGAGGUUUUGGUAAAAGUUCUUUGGAAUAGGACAUCAUAGAGGGUGAGAAUCCCGUAUUUGACCUUUACUUUCAACUUUGUGAUACACUUUCAAAGAGUCGGAUUGUUUGGGAAUGCAGGUCCAAAAUGGGUGGUAAAUUUCAUCUAAAGCUAAAUAUUGGCGAGAGACCGAUAGCGAACAAGUACCGUGAGGGAAAGAUGAAAAGAACUUUGAAGAGAGAGUUAAACAGUACGUGAAAUUGUCAAAAGGGAAGCGUUUGACACCAGUGUUGUUUUUCUGAAAAUCAAUUAAAGAACUGUUUAUGCUAAGUUGUUUAGACUUUAUCAGCUAUCUGUUUAGUUUUGAGCUUUUCUUUAAUGCACUUUUCAGUUAACAAGUCAACAUCAAUUUCUUUUGCUGUAAAAAAGCUUGAGGAAGGUGGCUUGAGAUUCGUCUUAAGUGUUUAUAGCCUCUUGCCUAUGCAGUCGGAGAGAUUGAGGUCUGCAGCGUAGAUCCUUCGGGGCUAAAUGCAUUUGUGCUAAGUUAUAGCAUUUUAUAGACAACUUGUUGACUAUGAUUUGUCUUGUAGCUUACUCGCUUAUGUUAUUUUACCUACGCUUAGGAUGUUGAAGAUGUAGCACAUCAU